rnacentral:tRNA from 1 species
GCCGGUGUAGCUCAAUUGGCAGAGCACUCGCCUUGUAAGCGAAAGGUCGCGGGUUCGAGUCCCGCCACCGGCU